GGAAAUGUGGCUUAGUGGUAGAGUGUUUGCCUAGCAUGCAUGAAGCCUUGGGUUCGAUUCCUCAGCACCA
rnacentral:tRNA from 1 species